rnacentral:lncRNA from 1 species
GAUAGCACAAGGCAUGAUUUCAUAUGAGAAUAUUGGAGACAAGGACAAAACUUUGAUGGAAAUUGCCGAGCUCUACUUGGGUGAGUUGGCCUCCAGGUCCAUCGUCCAACUUGAAAUUAAUUACGGCGAUGCUGUCACAAGUGGAAGAAAAUAUAGGAGCUGCAAACUUCAUGAUGUAGUAAGAGAACUAUGUUUGAAAUUGGGGAGAAGUGAGGAUUUUGGUGCUCAGAGUUUGGAGUAUCAAAGUGGGAAAGCUUCCUCGCAUAGGAAAAUACGGCAUUUGGCUAUACAUUUCAGGAAGGAAGUUCAAGUGGAACCUGACGAGCUUACACUCACUUGGGGAGAAGAUAGUAGUGAACAUUUAAGGUCUCUUCAAAUGUUCAGUCACAUAAAUUCGGGUGUUGUUGAGUUUCCCCCGCAAGGUAUUGUUGAUUUUCAGAAAUUCAAAUUGCUGAGAGAUCUAGGUAUGGUGGGAUUCAAAUUUGAAGGAAGAAAGUUAUCGAAAGGAAUCACUAGUCUUGUUCACCUUAGACGUUUGUGUUUAGAAAAAUGUGAAUUUGAUAAGCUACCAUUGUCCAUAAGGAAUUUGAUAUACAUGGAUACCCUUGAUUUAAGUUAUUCGAUGAAUGUUGGAGUUCCAAAUGUUUUUAAGGAGAUGGUACGUUUAAAGCACUUGUUUCUUCCCAAUUAUGAUGAGGAAAAAAUUGGAAGUUAUCGAUUGACAUUGGACGAGGGAGUGAUUGAGUUGGAGACCCUGUGGAAUUUGGAUAGUCGAGUGCAUGACUUAAAAUGUAUGAACAGAAUGAAGAAUCUGCGAACUUUCUCAACAAAAAUAUACGACAACGAAAGCUUGUCAGCCAUCAUCGACGUCAUUGCUCUCAUGGAAAUGUUACAGCAUUGUUGGGUUGGAAUCAAAAAGGGUUGCGAGUUAGGAACAAAUAAGGGAGUGUUAACGCUGAAGAAGGUAAUCACAUGUCCCAAUCUUGAUUCCUUAUGGAUUGAAGUUAAGUUAGGGAAGGCGCUGGCACUGGCAGAGUGCGGGAGUGACUUCAUCAGUUCAAAACUUUUAAGUUUGGUCCUGUCAGAAUGUGAGAUUGAGGAUGAUCCAAUGGGGAUACUGGGGAAGCUUCCUUGCUUGAUAGAGUUGUAUUUAGACAAUGAAUCAUUUGUGGGGAGGAGAUGAUGUGUCCAUCAAACAGUUUUCCUCGCCUCAAGAAGCUUAGUGCUCGUUUGGUUCAAGUAGAGGAAUGGAAAGGGAAUGGAAUCAAAUAAAGGAGUGGAAUGGUAACAAUAACCAUUACUUUUAUUGAGUGUUUGGUUUAACAAUGGAAAUGAAUCAUUAGUAAGGGAUUCUCUUUCAUUUGUUUCCCCUCUAUUUUGAGGGGUAACAAAUUGGGUGAUUGGGUUACCCUCAAGUAAGGGUAAUGAUUAUCUUAUUAUCCAAACCAAACAACAAAUAAUGGAUUCAAUUACUUUAUUCCCUUUCCAACCUCUAAAAACACUCAACCAACGUGGGCUUAGUUUAUAUCUAUUACCAAAGUUGAGGGAGUGGAGAGUGGAGGCAGGAGCCAUGCCCCUUCUCUCUCAAUUACAAAUAGAUGAGUGUUCUAAUCUGGAGAUGCUUCCAGAUGGAUUGAGUCUCAUUUCCACUCUUCAGGAACUAGAAAUUAUUGAUAUGCCAGAAUUGGGAAAAAGGGUAUCAACAUCAGGAGAGGAUUUCCACAAAGUCAGCCAUGUCCUUUCAAUUAUCAUCUGAGACAAUUGAUGACUAACUAGUCUAGUUUCCACCCAGGUAAUGCUUGCACCAAUUAAUCUCAUUCUCAAUUCACAAUUCUGUUGCUUCAAUUUUAGUUUUUCUCUAAAAGAUAGGUAUCUCGAUAAGGUUUUAACUUUAAAGCUCGACUCAUUCUAAACUUGUAUCGUCUUGGUUUUUGUUGCAGGGCUUGUUGUUCCAUGUCCCAAGUAUUUCUCUUUAAUUAUUUGCAAUCUUUUCUCUCCUCCCUUGUUUCGCUUUAAUCACUUUUUAAAAAAUAAAUGUGUAUAUUUUUAUUAAUCUGGUUGAAUUUGGUGAUUCUGGACAAUUUAUACUUGCUUAUUUCCAUAUGGAGUUAUUUUGGUAAGAUUCAGUCCAUGAGCCUUUGUUUAUAAUUUCUGGAGAUUUAAGCUUUAUUUAUUUCAGUUCUUGAAUUGUGUUUUUUGUUGCUUGGUUGUUUAGAAUCCAAUAAAUUGAAAACUGGGUUGAUUAAUAUGAACAUGCUAUAAUAAUGAUAGUGUGUGUUUUGAAUAGAUGGAUAUAAAAUCCCGAUUGGUAUACGUAAUUCUUAGCUCAAAAUUCUUCGACUAGUAUCUCUACUGCAGAUGGUUUUGAUUAAGCAAGAAAAAUUGGAUUAGGUUAAUGAUAUUGUUGAAGGAAAUGUAGCGAAGCAGACUUGUGGCGCCUACCUGCUCAACACUAAUUUUAAUUAAAAGUUUUUUCAGUAGGUACUUAUUAGGCUAUGUUCAACUACUCAUAAUUAUGUUAACGAAAUAAGCAUAUUGAAAAAUCAAGAUUUGGCAUUGUAAAAAGAGACAUGCAUGCAUGCCAAAAAAAUAUGAUGAAAUUCUCUGUCCAUAUAUGCCCGAUAUCAUCUGUGAUUCCCUAUUAAUUUAACUAAUUUAAUAAUAUUUAUUAUAAAAUAAAUAAAUAUUAUAUUGUACUAAUCUCAGAAUAAUAAUGACAUAUUAUCGGAUUUAAGGUCCAAAAGAUUAACGAAAAUGCCCCAAAUAUACCUCUAACUAUACUGAAUAAAAUAGGUUCUAUAAAUAGAAUUAUUCAUACUUUCAUUUAUCAGCCCAAUUGCAAAGAUGAGUCCAGCCCAAUUUCAUUCUCUCUCUUCCACUCCCUCUAAAAUGGGCCCAUUCCUUAAUUAAGAGAUCCAACAAACAUAAAUUCGGCCCACAAAUUACCACCACUUCAAUUUAUGUUACGAAAUCCCAUAAUAUGAAGAUAUCGAGAAAUUAAAUAUAGUCGAGGAAGACAAUGUCUAGAAUGUUGAUGAUCCAUUUUAAUAUCAAGUGACUUGUGUGUUAUUGAGAGCUGUAGUUUAAUCCCCAAAUAUCCAUCUCUAAGCUAAAAAGCCAAACAAUAAAUAUACCUCAUCAAAGGUAUAGUAUCUAGAGUUCAUUACUAAUUAAGGAUGGGGCAUGUUUGGUCUUGGUGUUACACCGUUGAUAUGUGCUCAAUAUCAACGGUGUUAAAGAGCAAAUUUUUUCUUGAAAUAUCAUGACUAGCCACAGAUAUUAAAAUAAUAAUAAAUAAUAAUAAAAAAAACACAUAUAUUGCACCACUUCAUCAUUCUUGUGGGGUUAAUGUUGGAAUAAAUGGCUUAAUUAGUCCAUAAUUACAUUGUAAUUAAUGGAAUUAAAUGGCAUAUUUGGAAUCUACAUUUUGAGUAGAGGUAUAUUUACUUGUUCAAAUCUAUUAAGAAUUGAAUGAGUAAUUAAAUGCCAAAAGGUAGCCAUUGAAAAUGGAAAUGUGGAGGGAUGUGGAGGGUCAUCCCACAUUGGAAAAAUAAGGAAGUUGGAAGCUAUUUAUAAAGUGCUCUCCACCAUAAAGGAACAAUCAAGUGUGCUUCUCUAUGGUGGACUUAUGGUGCACCCAAGUGGGUUUUUGACUUAGCCUUUUAAGGCUAAAACUCAAUUCCUACGAGGAAGGUGCGAAGCACCUUCCGAGUCCGAGGCCGAGGCCGAGCACGUGCUUGUCGCAAUGGGCGCUUUGUAGGCGCACUUUGCACUUCGCUCGUUCGCGUCGUCGCGAGGAGCCUUUAGUUUUGACAAAUGAAACGGUGGCUCGUGUGACGUGGCAGUGACGUGGAAACAUGUGGCUCGGUGACGUGGCACCGCGUGGCGGAUAAGGAAUCUGGGUGGNUUAUUAUAUUUAUGGAUAAUUGAUAGUAGUAUAUGAUAAUAUUAUGAGUUUAAGAUUUAGAGUUUUGAUAAGGAAUUUUUGUUCUACUAGAGAUUUCUUUACAUUGUUUUAAUUAAUGAGGUUUGCCCCAGAAUCUUUAAUUUAUUUGUAAUUUUUACACGAGAUUUUAAACUUUAUUUCUUUUCUUGAAUUGUCACUGAAUUCUCGCCGAUCCCUUGAAAGAUGAUUUUGCUUGCUACUGUCUACGCAGUAAGGGCAUACCGAUUGUUUGUCGGGUAUUUUUGGUGUAAAACGACGCACCACAUAUGUUCACUUAUAUAAAAGUUAACUAUCCAAAAAAACACCAUUUCUUGGCCAAGAUUCAAUCCUCAUAUUACGAUAUCUCACUAUUAUCUUCCUUAAGGAACCGAACACCAUCUAAGUUUGCUCAUAAAUAAUUCUUAUUAUCAGCAAAUAUUCAAUCAAAAUGACAGACAGAAAAGCAUCUUUUGUUUUCCUUACAAAAAAAACUAUUCUGCUCCAUACUUCAAUAUGUUGACUGCUUACAAACAAACUGCAAGUUGGGAUUUUACUUACAGACAAUAAAAUUAUUAUAAUAAUUAAUAUAAAGACAAGUUGGCUUUUCUGAAACGCGUAUACAAUGUCCCAAAAAUCUAUCAUUAUAUUGGUUUCGAAGUCAUUUAAAUCGAUAAACAUAGAUUUCUUAUUAGAAUUUUAAUUACUCUUCAACAGCUAAUAGUAGGGUAUGAACGACGAAAUAUAUUGUAUCUGCCAUUCUAAUUAAGCUAAAAACCAAAAAGUAAAAACAUACCUCAGCAUAGUUAUCUAGAGUUCGUUACUGUUGAUAUGUGCUCAAUAUUUGGCUUAGAAAAUGUCAUGAAUAAUAUUAAUUUGUUUACAUGUCAUAGCUAGCUCUAGACAUUUCUUAAAACGUAAUAUAUGUCAUAACUUAGCAAAAGGUGACAGGAAACUACCAUCUUAUGAUGUUUAGUUCAUAUCAUAGGCUAAAUUAUUGUAUUAAUAACAUUAAUAAACUCUUAUUGGCUUAAAGCGCCUUAAUUACUCACAACAAUUCAUUAUGCCAGCUAAUGAUGAAUCACCUUAUCAUUUUUUAUACCAUAUUAUUGAGUUAAUUAAGAUAAUGUGCUUUCUCAUAAGCUAAACUACUUUCACACUUUUCCCCACCAACGACAGUCAAACCUCUCCCUUUUUCCUCACACAACUCUCCAAGAACUAAUUUCUCUGUUCCAGAAUCAAAAUCCUUUGCAAUCUCCAUUGAAGAACUUGUAUUCACAACAACGAGUUCCUUAUCCUUAUUCCUCUACACACACUCUCACCAAUAGUAAAUCAAUUUGACCAAGAAAUUCGAGUUUGGAAUUGUUGCGAUGGCAGAAGCAGUGGUGUCGACUGCUCUGGAAACCUUGCGCGAUUUGUUGUUGGAAGAAGCAAGGUUUUUAUAUGGUGUGGGCGAUGAAGUGAAGGAGAUCGAGUGGCAGCUCAAAGAGAUGAAGUGUCUCCUUAAAGAUGCCGAUAGAAGACGACAUGAAAGCGAAACCAUAUUCAAUUGGAUCUCGGAGGUCAAAGAUCUUGUGUACAGAGCGGAAGCUGCCAUUGAAAGACACGCAGCUUAUCAAGUGUUGUCAAGGAGAAGACGAGGUCUCAGACAGCUCGUCCGCAAAUGUAGUUGCAGUCUGCAAAAAUACAAGUCAAUCCACCAACUAGGCUCGGAGAUUUCACCGAUCAAAUCCCGACUUGAAAGGAUAAACAAGGAAAUGUUAGAAAGUGGCAUAAAGAAGAGCAUCAUCAACAAUACAGAUGAAGGGGAAAGCUCGUCCGCCAACAACAGAGCAAGGAAGAGCUUCCCCGAAUUCGAGAUCGGAGACUGUUUGUGGAAAUGAAGGACGAGCUCAAGCAGCUUCGUAAUCUCCUCGGGCAAGACAACGAGGAUCGAGUUAUUUCAGUGUGGGGAAUGGGGGGGUCAGGCAAGACCACCAUUGCCAAAAAGCUCUACAACGAGAACAACACCAGCUUUGAUCUUUGCGCAUGGGUUUGCAUUACUCAGCAAUGUCAGAGUUUUCAAUCAGUAUUGGAGGAUGUUCUGAAGCAGUUAGAGCAUCAAAACAGGAAGGAUGGACCACAGAUAACGGGGGACGUUUCUAGUCUGAGCAACUCAGAGUUGAUUGAACGACUAUCCAAGAUACAAAGAGAUAAGCGAUGCCUCAUUGUUUUUGACGAUCUAUGGAGACUUUCUGAUUGGAAUGAGUUGAAGCAUCCAUUCCUUGUCCAGCAUCUGCAAAGCAAAAUAUUGAUCACCACUCGCGAACAGAAAGUUGCAGAGAUUGGAUCAUGCCCUGUAAAACUUGGGCUUCUAAAAGAGGAACAUGCUUUGGAACUACUUAAGAAGAAAGCAUUUCCCCAUACCAACAUUCCAGGACAAUGUGUCUAAGAAAUAAUACAUGUUUGUAGGGAUGUCAAUCGAGACUGAGUAAGUUAUAAGUUGUGUAGUACUAUUCAAUUAAUUAUCAUGUGUUAUUUCAAUACAGACUUUGCAUUGGAAGAAAAUUUUGAGAAAAUUGGGAAACAAAUGGUGCAGAUGUGUGGGUAUUUGCCGUUAACAAUUUCUUUACUCGGUGGGGUCUUGAGGAAGAAAAAUUCGAUGAUGGAAUGAGAGUUAGUAAAUAAGGAUAUCAAAAAACACAUAUAUAGAGAUGAAAGUGAGAUUGAUGGAGUGCUAAAUUUAAGCUAUGAAAGUCUACCCUAUUAUUUGAAGUCUUGCUUUCUCUAUAUGGGUUUAUUUCAAGAGGAUGAAGAUAUAGAUGUUGACGAUCUAUAUAUUAGAUGGAUAGCACAAGGCAUGAUUUCAUAUGAAAAUGUUCGAGACAAGGACAAAACUUUGAUUGAAAUCGCGGAGCUCUACUUGGGUGAGUUGGACUCCAGGUCCAUCGUCCAAGUUCAAAUUCACGACGGUGUCACACCUGGAAGAAAAUAUAGGAGCUGCAAACUUCAUGAUGUAGUAAGAGAAGUAUGUUUGAAAAUGGGGAAAAGGGAGGAUUUUGGUGUGCUGAGUUUGGAGUAUCAAACUGGGAAACUAAUUAGUACCUUACUACGACAAGCUUCUUCUGAUAUGAAAAUACGACAUUUAGUUAUCCAUUUUAGGAAAAAAGUCGAAUUGGAACGUGACGAGCUUGGAGAAGAUAGUAGCAAACGUUUAAGGACUCUUCAAAUGUUCAAUCACAGUAAUUUUGUUGAGCUUCCCCAACAAAGUAUAGUUGAUUUUCAGAGAUUCAAAUUGCUGAGAGAUCUAUUUAUGGUGGGAUUCAAAUUUGCAGGAAGAAAGUUACCGAAAGGAAUCACUAAUCUUGUGCACCUUAGACGUUUGCGUUUAGAAGAAUGUGCAUUUGAUAAGCUACCAUCGUCCAUAAGGAAUUUGGUAUACAUGGAUACCCUUGAUUUAACUGACUCGAUGAAUGUUGAAGUUCCAAAUGUUUUUAAGGAGAUGCUACGUUUAAAGCACUUGCUUCUUCCGGAGUAUGAGGAAAAUAUUGGUAGUUAUCGAUUAACACUGGAUGAGGGAGUGGUUGAGUUGGAGACCCUAUGGGGGUUGGAUAGUAGAGUGCAUGAAUUAAAAUGUAUGAACAGAAUGAAGAAUCUGCGAAAUUUCUCAACAAAAAUACACGACAACAAAAGCUUGUCAACCAUGAUCGACGCCAUUGCUAUCAUGAUCAAGUUAGUGUUUUGUAUGGUUGAAAUCAAAGAGAAAUGCGAGUUAGGAACAAAUGAGGGAGUGUUGAACAAGGCACUCACGGAUAGGUCCAAUAUUCACUACUUGUCGAUUGAAGUUAAGUUAGGGAAGGCUCUGGCAGAGUGCGGGCGUGACUUCAUCAGCUCUAAACUUACAGAUUUGGAGCUGCGAGAAUGUGAGAUUGAGGAUGAUCCAAUGGGGAUACUGGGGAAGCUUCCUUGCUUGAUACAUUUGAUUUUAAGGAGGAAAUCAUUUGUGGGGGAGGAGAUGAUGUGUCCAUCAAACAGUUUUCCUCGCCUCAAGUUGCUUGUGCUAUCUGAAUUACCAAAGUUGAGGGAGUGGAGAGUGGAGGCAGGAGCCAUGCCCCUUCUCUCUGAAUUGGAGAUCGAUGAUUGUUCCAGUCUGAAGAUGCUUCCAGAUGGUUUGAGUGGCAUUUCUACUCUUCGGUACCUGGAGAUUACUGGAAUGCCGGAAAUGGGGAAGAGGAUAUCGGCAUCAGGAGAGGAUUUCCACAAAAUCAGCCAUGUCCCUUCAAUUAUCAUAAAAAACUAUUGAUGAUGACUAACUAAUCUAGUCUCCACCCGGGUAAUGCUUGCACCAAUCUCCUUCUCAAUUCCCAAUUAUGUUGCUUCAAUUUUAGUUUUUCUUUAAAAGAUAGGUAUCCUGAUAAGGUUUUAACUAUAAAGCUCGACGCAUUCUAAACUUGUAUCGUCUUUCUUUUGGUUGCUGGCUACUUUUCUCCCCCCCUUCGAGCUACAGUCUUGUUGUUCCAUGUCCCCAAGUGUUUCUCUUUAAUUAUUUGCAUUAUUUUCUCUGCUUCCUUGGUUUGCUUUAAUCACUUUUUUUAAAAAAAAUAAAUGUGUAUGUUUUUAUUAAUAUGGUUGAAUUUAAUUGGUGAUUCUGGACAAUUUAUUCUAGACUUGCUUAGUUCCAUAUGGAGUUAUUUUCGUAAGAUUCAGCCCAUGAGCCUUUGUUUAUAAUUUAUGCAGAUUUAAGCUUUAUUUCAGUUCUUGAAUUGUGAUUUUUGUUACUUAGUUGUUUAGAAUCCAAUAAAUUGAAAAUUGGGUUGCUUAAUAUGAAUGGUAGUGCAUGGUUUGAAUUGAUGGAUUUAAAAUCACGAUUGGUAAACGUAAUUCUUAGCUCAAAAUUCUUCGACUACUAUUUCUCUUGCAGAUGAUUUUACCGUUGAUUAAGCAAGAAAAAUUGGUUUAGGUUAAUGAUAUUGUUGAAGGAAAUGAAGCUGCACCAGCUGCUUUAGUAGGCCUCUUUUUCGGGUGAAAUGUAGGAAGCAUAUAGGUGAGACCUUUACACCAUACAAAAAUAAUAAAUAUAUUACUCCCUCUAUCUCAAUAAUAACGUCCCAAAUUUUCUUUUUGGGCGUCCCAUUUAUAAUAUCACAAUCCAAAAAAAAAAUAUAUAUAUUUUAUCUACUCUUUCUAUUUUUCUCCUCGUUUACUUUAUCUAUCUCUUACUUUUUUCACUAUUCUAUUUAUCUAUCUCUCCUUAUUUACUUUAUCUCUCUCUUACUUUUUUACUACUCUAUCUGUCUCUCUCUUCAUUUACUUUAUCUAUCUCUUACUUUAUCUGCAUUUUCUUAAUUAAUUUGUGUGUCCCAUUUUUUUAGUACAUUUCUUUACUCUGUGGCAAUUCUCAAGCUCUAACUCAUUCAUUAUUGUUGAUUUACUGGUUGAACAUUGGUUUAUGGAGAGUUACUUAUCAUCACUACCACUUUUGGUGCUCAGAGAAAUUAUAACAUUUUACCUUUUGUUUAGAGGGUAUAUUAUGUUCCUCAGUAAGGUUUUAAUGAAGCUCAACUCAUUAUAAGAUUAUAUCAUCUUUUCAAUUAUUUGUUUUUUCUCAAGGUGCAGUCUUGUUGUUGAUUUCUCAGGUGUUCCUCCUGUCAUACCAGACGGUGAACUGAGGCUCUGAAUCAAGAGGUUUUCAAAUUUCUGGAGCUUUUAUGCUUUAUUUUCUUGAAUUGUGACUUUUGCUGCUUGGUUGUUUAGAAUCUAAUAAACUGAAAAUUGGGUUUGUUAAUAUGAAUAAUAUUAGUAGUGUUGUGGCUUGAUUUGAUGGAUUUAAAAUUACGAUUGGUAUAUGUGAGGAAUAUUUGCCUUAAUUUAAGCUGAAGGAAUCAGGAUUCGAAGGUGACAACGAGCGGAGGACCUCUAGUGCAAAUAUGAGAACACCGAGGGAGUUAGUUGCAAAUGUUUCUAAUAAGGAUGCAUUACAUCUCGACCGUUCAAUGCUUUCAACGGAUGAGAUUAGAUCUCAUCAAAUGUUAGUUUUAAUAGAAUAGCUGCAACAGUUCUUCUUCUUCGAAGUCCGCCUGAAUACUUUUCUGCACAUUGUAAUCAAAGUUCGUUUGUGACCAACAAAAAUCGUCUUUCUCUUGGCCCGUUAAUGUGUUUAUUUUAAUUGUUCAUAUUCUUGGAAUUUAUUUGAUUGUUUAUAAUUUAAUUAUGAGUAGCUAAAUUCUUCGGCGAGAAUAAUGAAAUACUGAAUUAUGAGUAUCUUCCGUGUAUCAUAAUUAUGAUUAUUGGAGAGUGGAGGCAGGAGCCAUCCCCCUUCUCUCUCUCUCUCUUACUAUGAUUAUCUUCGUGUAUCAUAAUUCUCUGUUAUAAUCAUAAUUAUUCAAACACGUUAACAACUUAUAAGCUCUCAUUACAUUUUAAAUUAUUAAAGUUUAUAAUACAUGCAUUCUUAAACUCAUUAUGUUUUUAUUUUCAUUCAGUAAUAGCUUUUUUAUUAUUGUUGAUUUACAGGUUAAGCAUUGGGUUUCCAGAGGGUAUGUUCCUUCGAAUCUCAAUUCUCAUUCUUAAUUUACAGGUAUGUUUGCACCAAUCUCAUUCUCAAUUCCCAAUUUUGUUGCUUCAAUUGUAGUCUUUCGCUUUUAUCACGUUUUUUUAAAAAUAAAUGUGUAUAUUUCUUUUGUACGUGGCUCCAAGAAGGGACGGAGCCAGGGGGGGCUAGAGCCCCCUCCCAAUUUUUUUUUUUAAUAUAUAUAGAUAUAUGUUUAUACCUAUAAAAUAAUUUUGUUUUAUAAAAGAGUAUUUGGUUAUUAUAUUCUCUCACACAUACUUAAUUUAAAGAUAAUUUUGUUAUUUAAAACUAUAUAAUCUAUGAAAUAUUGUUUGUUAUUAUUACUAUUAUACUUGUCUUUUAAUAAAAUAUGCCUAAUAUGUAUGAAAUGCUAAAAAAAAUUAUAAUGUAUUGAAACUAAUUUGUAAUAUAUAGAAAAUAUAUAAUCUAUGAACAUGUUGUUUGUUAUUAUUAUUAUUAUGCUUGUCUUUUAAUAAAAAAUGUCUUCAAUAUACGAAAUGUCUAAAAAAAGUUUUGUGAUAUAUUGAAACUAUAUAAUCUAUGAAAAUAUUAUUCGUUAUAAUUAGUAUUAUGCUCGUAUUUUAAUAAAAAAAAAUACCUUAUAUAUACAGAAUGCCCAAAAAAAAUUCUCGGGGGCAGAACCCCCGUACAAUUUCAGCCCCCCCGAACUUAAUUCCUGGCUCCGUCCCUGGCUCCAAGCCUGACAUGGCCAUAUUCCAUUCCUCGGAAGAUUCUGGACAAUUUAUUGUAGACUUGGUUAGUUCCAUAUGGAGUUAUUUUUGUAAGAUUCAGCCCAUGAUUUCUAGAGAUUUAAGCUUUAUUUCUGUUUUUGAUGAAUUGUGAAUUUUGUUGCUUGGUAGUGGUGGUAAAAUUGUGUCUGUUUCGUAAAGUUAUUAUAAUCGGCCGAAUUGUUGGCUUUUGCAGCGUAUUUCUGCUCUCGAGUUUCGUUUCGAUUGGCCCCUGUGUUAUUAUCUUGGAAAUGGUUUGAGCUGUGCAACUAUUUAGUUACAAGGGAUUUGGAGUGAUCCCCCUGAUCGUUUUUCAGUUUUCUGGUGCGCUAGAGUCUGGGCUCGCGGGAACGAGCUUCGUUAGUGGCUACACAGUUGGAUUGACACGUGUUCGGUCUGACCGAUUUCCCACACAUUUGAUUGCUUGUGUGGCGGAUGUUGGUUUUGAAAGAUCCAACAACUAUAAAUGCAGCGCACAAAUUAUCAGGCUUAACAGCACUUCAAUUUUCAUGUUAUAAAAUUGAACUCAAAAGCCCAAUUUUGUUUUUAUAAAUUCACAAAACGAGCAUCUUGCUGGUUGGUGUUGAAGAAAUAAUUGCUGGAGCUUUCACUGUAAGUGACAUUAAUUUACUCACAACAAUUCAUUAUGCCAGCUAAUGAUGAAUCACCUUAUCAAUUUUUAUACCAUAUUAUUCAGUUUUGGUCGUCGGAGUGGUUGAGAAAUGGUGAAUUAGAUGAUGUUUAGUUCAUAUCAUAGGCUAAAUUAUGUGUAUUAAUAACAUUAAUCAACUCUUAUUGGCUUAAAGCGCCUUAAUUAAUUACUCACAACAAUUCAUUAUGCCAGCUAAUGAUGAAUCACCUUAUCAUUUUUUAUACCAUAUUCCCUUUGAAUGACGAGAGAGAAUUAUUGGGUGAAGAAGAAGAAGAAGACGAGGUAGAAACAAACAGACGCUUAUGACAAGGUUGAAUUAUUGAAUGAAGAAUUUAGUAUAAUACUUAACAAACAAACAGAAUUAGUGUAAUUGAAUGAAUCACCAGGUGGUCCCUACUAAACAAAACAUGAGGAAAUAAUCAAGAUUAUGUGGUUUCUCAGAAACUUACUCUUUUCUCAUAGAGGAAAUACUCUGUUUCACAAUCCAAAUUCCUCGCAAUCUCGAUUGGAGAAUUUGUAUUCACAACAACGAGUUCCACAUCCUUAUUUUUUUUAUAAUUGUUUAUACAUGCGAGGAUAUUCCUAAUUCAAUUCAAACAUCAAUCUGUAUAUAUCAAAUAAAUUUAUAUAUAUUUUUUUUGUAAAUAUGCAAUAUGUAAUAUGGAAAAUAUCCUUGAAAUAAAUUAUGUAAUGGGGUAAAAUAGACAAUCUAAAUUUUGUGCCCAAAACACUUUUUCUGUUAGUAUAGAUAUAGAUUAAUAUGGAUGUGGUGUUUAUAUUUUUGUACACAUUAUUUUCUGAUAUUAUCAAUCUUUUCUGAUAUUAUCAAUCGCUUUCACACUUAAUAUUUAAAAAAAAUUAUCUAACAAAUCAUUUAAAAAUUACUCCCUCCGUCAACGAAAAUACGGCCUAAAGGACGAUGAAACAAGUUUUAAGAAAACUUGUAUUGUUUAUUUAAUGAGUGGAGAAAGGGUCUAUAAAUUUAAAAAAAUGGAAAAAGUUAAUUUAGUUAGUGAGUUGGAAAGGGGCCCACAAGUUAGUCAAAUAAUUGCUAAAAAUAAGUUAUAACAUAUUUUUAUGGACGAACCAAAAUACUAAAUUAAAUUAUAUUUUCGUGAACAAAAGGAAGAGUAAACAACAAAUGAACUUUAAUUUGUUAUUUUUUCACAUUAUACAAUCUUUUAACUAUUUUGUCGGUACCAGACUUUUGGUGUACCAACAAUCUAUAUCUAUAUCUAUAUACCUAUUAUAAAAUAGCCUUGUUUUACAAAAUUUAAUUUGCCUAAUAUGUCCAUAUUUCUUAAUCUAUUUAAGGACAAUAGUGUAAUAUCAUAUUAUUAUUAUUAUUAUUCUAAUCUUGUUUUAUUUAGUUGAUUAUUGUCAUAAUAAUGAACAUAAAAGAAUUCAACUCCAAUCACAAUUCUAAACAAGUUCGAUUUUAUCUAUAUUUAUCACAUAUAAAUAUAUUAUUUAAAUCCAAGACUUAUUAAUUUUUUUAAACAAAUUUACUAUAUAAAUUCAAUAAAUUUAUAAAGAAAAACUCAACUAAGUCCUACUAAAAUCUAAUGAGGGAAAUAAUGAGGAAGAAUUAUUGAAUGAAGAAGAAGAAGACAAGGUAGAAACCAAAAAUAAGGGGAGUUAAUUAAGAUAAUGUGAUUUCUCAUAAGCUAAACUACUUUCACACUUUUCCCGCAAACGAAAGUCAAACCUCUCCCUUCUUCCUCACACAACUCUCCAAGAACUAAUUUCUCUGUUCCAGAAAAUCCAAAUUCUUCGCAACAACGAGUUCCAUAUCCUUAUUCCUCUCUCUAUAUACUCUCACCAAUACUAAAUCAGUUUGACCAAAGAAAUUCGAGUUUGGAAUUGUUGCGAUGGCAGAAGCUGUCGUGUCGACUGCUCUGGAAACCUUGCGCGAUUUGUUGGUGGAUGAAGCAAGAUUUUUAUCUGGUGUGGGUGACCAAGUGAAGGAGCUCGAGAUCCAGCUCAAAGAGAUGAAGUGUCUUCUCAAAGAUGCCGACAGAAGACGACAUGAAAAUGAAACCAUUUUCAAUUGGAUCUCAGAGAUCAAAGAUCUUGUGUACAGAGCCGAAGCUGCCAUUGAAAGACACGCAGCUUAUCAAGUGACUUCAAGGAGAAAACGAGGCCUCAAACAGCUCCUCCGCAGAUGUAGUUGUAGUUUGGAAGAAUACAAGUCGAUCCACCAAUUAGGCUCGGAGAUUUCACCGAUCAAAUCCCGACUUGAAAGGAUAAACAAGGAAAUGUUAGAAAGUGGCAUAAAGAAGAGCAUCAUCAACAAUACAGAUGAAGGGGAAAGCUCGUCCGCCAACAACAGAGCAAGGAAGAGCUUCCCCGAAUUCGAGAUCGGAGACUGUUUUGUGGGAAUGAAGGACGAGCUCAAGCAGCUUCUUCAUCUCCUAGUGGAAGACGAAAAGCAUCGAGUAAUUUCAGUGUGGGGAAUGGGGGGAUCAGGCAAGACCACCAUUGCCAAAAAGCUCUACAACGAGACCAACACCAGCUUUGAUCUUUGCGCAUGGGUUUGCAUUAGUCAGCAAUGUCAGAGUUUUCAAUCAGUUUGGAAUGAUGUUCUCAUGCAGCUACAACAUCAAAACACGAAGGAUGGGCCAAAAAUAAGGGAGGAUGUUACAAGUUUGAGCGAGUGGGAGUUGAAGGAGCGAUUAUGCAAGAUACAAAGAGAGAAGCGAUGUCUGAUUGUUUUUGACGAUCUUUGGAAAGUUUCUGAUUGGGAUGGCUUUAAGCAUCCCUUCCUUGUCCAAGAUUUGCAGAGCAAAAUCUUGAUCACCACGCGCGAACGGGAAGUCGCGGAGAUUGGAUGCCCUGUCAAACUUGGGCUUCUAAAAGAGGAAGAUGCUUUGGAACUACUCAAGAAGAAAGCAUUUCCCCACACCAACAUUCCAGGUUAGUUGGAUUUGACUUCUAGUCUACAAAUAAUAUUCUAGAUUUACCUGCUUGUAGUUUCUUUUUUGCAUCAUCGGUUCCAAAUUAGAUGAGAGGAUAUGAUUAAGUUAUAAAGUUACUAUUCAAGUAAUUGUCAUUUGUUUUUCAAUGCAGAGUUUGCAUUGGAAGAAAAUGUUGAGAAAAUUGGGAAAGAAAUGGUGAAGAAAUGUGGGUAUUUGCCGUUGGCAAUUUGUUUACUCGGUGGGGUCUUGAGAAAGACAAAUUCGAUGAUGGAGUGGAAGUUAGUCAAAGAAUUCAUAUAUAGAGAUGAAAAGGAGAUUGAUGGAGUGCUAAAUUUAAGCUAUGAAAGUCUACCCUAUUAUUUGAAGUCAUGCUUUCUCUAUAUGGGUAUAUUUCAAGAGGAUGAAGAUAUAUAUGCUGACGAUCUAUAUAUGAUGUGGAUAGCACAAGGCAUGAUUUCUAUUGGAGACAAGGACAAAACUUUGAUGGAAAUUGCAGAGCUCUACUUGGGUGAGUUGGCCUCCAGGUCCAUCGUCCAAGUCGAAAUUUACGAUGGUGUCACACCUGGAAGAAGAUAUUCGAGCUGCAAACUUCAUGAUGUAGUAAGAGAACUGUGUUUGAAAUUGGGGAGAAGUGAGGAUUUUGGUGUGCAGAGUUUGGAGUAUCAAAGUGGGAAAGCUUCCUCGCAUAGGAAAAUACGGCAUUUGGCUAUACAUUUCAGGAAAGAAGUUCAAGUGGAACCUGACGAGCUUACAGUCACUUGGGGAGAAGAUAGUAGCGAACAUUUAAGGUCUCUUCAAAUGUUCAAUCACAUAGGUUCGGGUGUUAUUGUUGAGUUUCCCCCGCAAGGUAUCGUUGAUUUUCAGAAAUUCAAAUUGCUGAGA